GGGGAAUGCUUAAUGUAGAAGGAGGGACUGGGAGCAUGAAAAGGAUUAGACCUACAGUGUUCUGUAAAAGCUGUGCUCCUUCAACAGUUCUCCUAGGGAAGAGGAGAUAACAUUUACUGAGCUGUGAGAUGGUGAAGGGAUGUCUUCUACUGGAUGUUGCAGGCUUAUGCUGAGGAUUUCUCAAUAGACAGAGGCUUUCAUCACCACCUGUCUCCUCCUGACUGCACCACUGAAAUCCAGGCCCAUCUUUGGCACAGCAGGAAGAGUCAUAAAGUCGGGGUAACACUGCAGUGAGGAAUGCAAAUGUGUGAGAAACUGGAUUUGCGUGAUUUCUG
rnacentral:lncRNA from 1 species